UCUUAUGGAUGGGAAAAGAAAGUGGUUUCUUGAGAUGGAAUUUACUCCUGGUGACGAUGCUAUGAA
rnacentral:pre_miRNA from 1 species